rnacentral:rRNA from 1 species
CAACGAUAAGGAAGGUGGAAAUCCUUCCCGCCGUAAACCCAAGGCUUCCUGGGGAAGGUUCGUCCUCCCAGGGUUAGUCGGGACCUAAGUCGAGGCCAAUAGGCGUAGACGAUGGACAGCAGGUUCAAUAUUCCUGCACCACCGACAUUUAAAGAAGGGGGACGUAACGAUAGAGAAGAGCGAGGUGUUGAUUAUCCUUGUGCCGCAAGGCGACGCAGAGGCUACGGCUGAAGCGGAUUCUUUGACAAAGUUACCAAGAAAAGCCCUUCUGUAUACUAAGGUGCCCGUACCGUAAACCGACACAGGUGGGUGGGUAGAAUAUACCAAGGCGCGCGAGUGACACCUCUUUAAGGAACUCUGCAAUCUAGCCCCGUAACUUCGGAAGAAGGGGCGCCUCUCGUAAGAGAGGCCGCAGUGAAAGGGGUCAACCGACUGUUUAGCAAAAACACAGCUCUCUGCUAAGUCGUAAGACGAUGUAUAGGGAGUGACACGUGACCAAUGCUCCAAGAUUAAGAGGAGGGGUUAGCCGCAAGGCGAGGCUCUGAAUCCAAGUCCGAGUGAAUGUCGGCCGUAACAAUAACGGUCCUAAGGUAGCGAAAUUCCUUGUCGGGUAAGUUCCGACCUGCACGAAUCGUGUAACGAGUUGACCGCUGUCUCAAAGAGGAGCUCGGUGAAGUUGUAGUGGCGGUGAAAAUGCCGCCUACCCGCAGCAGGACGGAAAGACCCCGUGCACCUUUACUGUAAGCUGUUACUGUAUCGCUGAUUUCAAUACUUAGCGUAAGUGGGAGACUGUGAAGUCCUGAUUUCGGUCAGGACAGAGUCGCCAAUGAAACACCACCUUUUGAAAUCGGUAAUACUAACCCUGUCCCGUAAUCCGGGUGGGGGACAAUGGCAGCGGGUCAGUUUGACUGGGGCGGUCUCCUCCAAAAUGGUAACGGAGGAGCACUAAGGUUUCCUCAGCAUGGUUGUUAAUCAUGCGUCGAGUGUAUAGGCAGAAGGAAGCUUAACUGUGAGACAUACAAGUCGAACAGAUACGAAAGUAGGUCUAAGUGAUCCGGCGGUUGAAUGUGGAAUUGCCGUCGCUCAUCGGACAAAAGGUACGCCGGGGAUAACAGGCUGAUCGAUCCCAAGAGUUCAUAUCGACGGAUCGGUUUGGCACCUCGAUGUCGGCUCAUCGCGUCCUGGGGCUGGAGAAGGUCCCAAGGGUCCGGCUGUUCGCCGGUUAAAGCGGUACGCGAGCUGGGUUCAGAACGUCGUGAGACAGUUCGGUCCUCUAUCCGCUGUGGGCGCAGGAAACUUGACAGGUUCACUCCUUAGUACGAGAGGACCGGGAGUGACGGACCUCUGGUGUUCCGGUUAUCGUGUCAACGGUAGCGCCGGGUAGCUAUGUCCGGAAGGGAUAAGCGCUGAAAGCAUCUAAGCGCCAAGCCCCUCUGAAGAUAAGGUUUCCCUAUUAGGGUCGUGGAAGACUACCACGUUGAUAGGACACAUGUGUACGCGCAGUAAUGUGCUCAGCUAAGUGUUACUAAUUUCCG